rnacentral:rRNA from 1 species
AUUGAACGCUGGCGGCGUGCUUAACACAUGCAAGUCGAUCGGUAACGCGGGGGCAACCCUGGCGACGAGAGGCGGACGGGUGAGGGACGCUUGGGAAUCUGCCUAUCAGCGGGGGACAACACGGGGAAACUCGUGCUAAUACCGCAUACGCUCUACGGAGGAAAGCCGGGGACCGCAAGGCCUGGCACUGAUAGAUGAGCCCAAGCCGGAUUAGCUAGUUGGCGGGGUAACGGCCCACCAAGGCGACGAUCCGUAGCUGGUCUGAGAGGACGAUCAGCCACACUGGGACUGAGACACGGCCCAGACUCCUACGGGAGGCAGCAGUGGGGAAUAUUGGACAAUGGGGGAAACCCUGAUCCAGCGACGCCGCGUGGGUGAAGAAGGCCUGCGGGUUGUAAAGCCCUUUCGGUAGGGACGAAAGCUCUCGACCUAACACGUCGGGAGGUUGACUUAACCUACAGAAGAAGCACCGGCUAACUCUGUGCCAGCAGCCGCGGUAAUAC